UUACAGCACCCACUAUGUACACAUGUUUUACAUAAGUUCUUUAACCUACAUUAUGUGGUCAACAGAGCCUCUAAGAUGAAGAAAAUAAUAAAAUACUUUCUGGUGACAAGGCCCCAACUAUACCUUUACAAUUACAAAGGUGGCAUGAGCCACGCAGGGCUUCGGAAGGAAAGAGACUCACCAAUUACGAACACUGCCGAUAGAGAAAGAGGAGGAGCUAUAGACGCUGGACUGGAGUGCCUGCCACAAAUCCACCUACAAUCAUAACACGAAUAUAGCGCCCCCGACAACAGGGACGUCAGUACAUUUGAAUUGUAUUGGUAUGUGUGAACAAAGCCUGUCCCAAGUAAACUCAAGUCAAAGAUGCAUAUAAAAGUAGAGAGAUGAACAACAAUAGAAGCAACAACCAAGCACUUCACAAACAGAUGAUACAAUUAGCCAAAAAACGGGGCACUCAGUGCCCCACAUGUUACAUACUAUCCUGCUGUGUCCUUUCACAGUUCCACAUUGAUCAUUUCAUAAUUUCUGCUCAUUUCAAUAUUGAUAUUGGAUCACUUUUCCACCCUUAUUACCUCGGCCACCCUUAUCGCACCAACCCACACAUUAUUUCACCAUGUUGCGGUGCUCAACCCGACCUCCCCUGACAGUUUCAGCCUACAAACAACAUACAACACAUCAACAAUUACAAGAAAUCAACUAUUGCACAUUGUCAAGAUGUAACCACAACAAGGGGAGAAGUAUUUCCACAACUAACAACACCAAUUUCCUCAUGUUCACCGAUUCGUACACAAUCCGAGUUACCACAAUAGAUAUCCCUAACCAACCAUAUACGUUGUUACCAUAAUAGUUCUGAUUUCACCAUUUAAGGAUUCCCUUUAAUCAUAUGUUCCAAAACUUUUGCCACAAGAUGUUAUCCCACAAGUAUAAAUCACAAGAGUUUCUCAAUGACCCCACAUGGAUAUCAAGUAUCGACACUUUUCACACAUCAACACAGGGCGAUUUCACAAGGAUCAAAGUUAGCCAUACAUGUCGCACCUCCUUUUGCGUGCCUUACCCCGAGGGAUAAAAUGCACAAAGGGAGAUUUUCCAAUUUAAGUAACAAUAUUCGAAAUGGGAUUAUUUCUUUAAUUUCAGAGUCGCCACUUGGGAAAGGUUUGGCUUUUGGUCUCCCAUGUCACCGCUUUAUCUUGAAUCGCAAUUCGAGGAAAAUAUUCAACUUUCCAAGUGAAGUAUGCAAACCAGAAACUCUAAGUAAGGAAUUCUGUUGACCCGAGGGAAGGUGUUAGGCAUCUCCGAAUCCCGUGGUUCUAGCACGGUCGCUUAAAUUGUUGUAAUGGCUAAAUAUCUGAUUUUAAAACAUGCUAUGACUUAUGUGCUUUUACAAAGUUCAAAUCGCUUUUAUUAUUAUUUUAAUAAAAUUGCAAUGUCAUGAAAAUGUGCCUCGAACCAUGUCGCAAUCAAUGCAUCUAUGGAUUUUAAACACAUUUCGACUUCGUUGCGAUUCACAUUUGGGUCACAUAAAUGUAUACCCAAGAUUAGGGAGGUAAUAUUUAUUAAGGUGAAUCUUAAAGAUACUAACGCGCUAUUAUUUAGCGAAAAGCCAUGAAAUUCGCUAUGCAGGCUAUCUCGAAAUCUAAGCAAUUAUUAACAUCCAUUGAGGGCCCUUCGAUUUGUUUUUUGUUUUGGAGAGGCACACCUCAUUUAUAUUAAAGGAUAUCUUAAAGCGUCUACAUUUUUUAUUUCGUUACGUCUCUAAAUAAAAGAAGAAAAUACUUAAGUUAUUAAUCAUGCUCGAAACUAAGGAAAUACCUAAUUUAUUUACUUGCUUGGAACUAAGGAAAUACCUAAUUUAUUUACAUGCCUGAAAUUUAUUAUAAGAGGGCGUUGAAAACAACUUGUUAAAUCCGAAAAUGAUACAAUAAGGCUAUUCAUUUAGAAAUUUUAGACCUAGGCCCAAUGCGCAUAGUACGACACUUGACCCGGGCCGCCUAACUCAUGUAUUGUUGUUCAACUACAUCUAUCCUAUGUAUACUAAGGAUUUAACAAGCAGAGAAAUAUAAGAAUGCGGACAACCUAUUUGAAUUGAAAUAGCUUAAUUGAACUAUAUUAAAUUUAUUAGUGAUUAACUAACUAAGACGUGCUAUACUUUUAGAACACGAAAACUGAAAUAGCAUGGUAUCACUAAUACAUCAUAAUUCUUUUAAGAAAGAAGGACAUCCACAAUUUAAACUAUUACAGCUUACUGCUCAGUUAUACAUGGCAUCAAAUUACAUGAUUAUAGUAAACGCUACUAAUGAACUUAUAUACCCUUUAUGAUACAAAAAAACUAAAUGAAUAUAGAAAUUUAAAACUUCAUUUUUCAUUCAUGCUCUGUUUCAGCUACAUUGAACUAGUAUAUCGAAUAUGCGUACCUGGUAUUUGGAAAACAAAUAAGAGAGGACGAUCAGUGAUGAAUCAAGUAGUAGCACAACAAAAGCAACAGGCAACAGUAUACAAACAACAAUAGCAAUGAACCAAUGACACUAGAUGACCCAGGAAGGAUUUGAAAUCAAAUAGGACCCUUAAGGAAAUCAAAUGCAAUUUCCAGAAAAUCCAAAAUAGCAACCUCAAGUAUAGGACAAUUAUCCCAGAACCAAUAGCAACUCAACAACAAUGGAUCAGGGAUGCCAAACUCAGAACCAGAUUUGAAAAUCCAAACGACCAACUUGGGAAGAAACCAAAUAACGACCCAGGAAUAAGCUAGAACAAUAAACUUUGAUUUCUUUUUGAUAAAACUCUCAAGAACUGAACCUAAGUGUAAAAUUUGGCCUGCAUUUCACUCAAACUCUCUGAACUUCCUAUGUUAAAUACAGUCUUGUUUACUCUUAAAAUCAUUUUUGACGCCUAAAAUCUGUCCCUCAACUCUGUCCAGGUCUCUAUCAUUAAUAC
rnacentral:lncRNA from 1 species